AUAAUAGUUUUGUUUUGCUACAAAUUGAGCAUUGAACACAUACUGUUAUGUUUUUUUUCUUAAUCUUCUCCAUCCCUCUCUUCUCUAGAUCUUUAUCUUCUCUCACACGUUAGGCUCGUUAUUGUUUUGGUCGGAGUACACUUGUUGUUGCCGAAUACUAUUUGAUACUUGAUCAAAAUUCCUCCAUAUGUUCAAGCUAACUUACACAAUCUUCUAGUGAUCCAUUUAAAAUGGGAGCAGAGCAUAUCUUAUUGGACUAACAAACUCUCAGAAGUUUUAAUCGAUAAUAUGCAUCAGAUCGCAAGCACCAGACAUAACCAGAUCAGCUGAAACAAAGUAAUGCUUGCAAUAAUACUACAGAUUUAAACCAAAAAAAAAACAAAUCAUACAAAAUCAGGGUACAAGUGUCGUCUCUACUGCACGAG